CGUUCGAUAGUUCAGCUGGUAUAGCAGAGGACUGUAGACAGGACACAUGUGGAUAUCCUUAGGUCGCUGGUUUGAUUCCAGCUCAAAGGA
rnacentral:tRNA from 1 species